rnacentral:rRNA from 1 species
AUGUCGUCUCCUAUAGGCACUCAUUACAUAAAUCUAACUACUAGUCGUCUUCCAUGCAUGUUAGAUAUAAUUGCACACACUGAUAUAUCCACAAGAACCUCACGGAGCAAUGUAAAGGCCAAUAAACUUGAUGUCAAUGAUACCCAAUAUGAUGGAACAUGUAAAGGCAGUUCUUCAGAAGACUUGCAGAAAGAUGAUGAAUCCUCUUCACCACACAAGGCAUGCAAGGGGAAGACGACUAUGUUAGAAUCUGAAGGGUUACAAACAAGGCCUUUGCAAAAGAUCCAAACGCCAGGAGAUAAUAAACCAACUCCAGUUUUUAUAGAUACUGCUCCAGCAAAGAGAAACGCAACUCCUACUGAUAAUAAGCAGAUUCCAGUGGCCAAAGAACUAGUCCGCUCCAGUCCAGCAAAAAUAUGUCAACUCCAUUCUAAGAAGCGUGUGCAAUUUCUGCACUGGUAUCGCCUGUGA